GACGAACGCUGGCGGCGUGCUUAACACAUGCAAGUCGAACGGUAAGGCCCUUCGGGGUACACGAGUGGCGAACGGGUGAGUAACACGUGGGUGAUCUGCCCUGCACUUCGGGAUAAGCCUGGGAAACUGGGUCUAAUACCGGAUAGGACCACUGCCUGCAUGGGUGGUGGUGGAAAGCUUUUGCGGUGUGGGAUGGGCCCGCGGCUUAUCAGCUUGUUGGUGGGGUGAUGGCCUACCAAGGCGACGACGGGUAGCCGGCCUGAGAGGGUGACCGGCCACACUGGGACUGAGAUACGGCCCAGACUCCUACGGGAGGCAGCAGUGGGGAAUAUUGCACAAUGGCGCAAGCCUGAUGCAGCGACGCCGCGUGAGGGAUGACGGCCUUCGGGUUGUAAACCUCUUUCAGCACCGACGAAGCGCAAGUGACGGUAGGUGCAGAAGAAGGACCGGCCAACUACGUGCCAGCAGCCGCCGUAA
rnacentral:rRNA from 1 species